rnacentral:rRNA from 1 species
CCUACGGGAGGCAGCAGUGAGGAAUAUUGGUCAAUGGACGAGAGUCUGAACCAGCCAAGUAGCGUGAAGGAUGACUGCCCUAUGGGUUGUAAACUUCUUUUAUAUGGGAAUAAAAUGUUCCACGUGUGGGAUUUUGUAUGUACCAUAUGAAUAAGCAUCGGCUAACUCCGUGCCAGCAGCCGCGGUAAUACGGAGGAUCCGAGCGUUAUCCGGAUUUAUUGGGUUUAAAGGGAGCGUAGGUGGAGUGUUAAGUCAGUUGUGAAAGUUGGCGGCUCAACCGUAAAACUGCAGUUGAACCGGGUAGUCUUGAGUACAGGAGAGGUGGGCGGAAUUCGUGGUGUAGCGGUGAAAUGCUUAGAGAUCACGAAGAACUCCGAUUGCGAAGGCAGCUCACUGGACUGCAACUGACACUGAGGCUCGAAAGUGUGGGUAUCAAACAGGAUUAGAUACCCCUGUAGUC